GUCUACGGCCAUACCACCCUGAACAUGCCCGCUCUCAUCUGAUCUCAGAGGCUAAGCAGGGUCGGGCCUGGUUAGUACUUGGAUGGGAGAGUAAAGAUUUUCUAUGUAGGUAUUGAUG
rnacentral:rRNA from 1 species